AGACGGCAGCCGACUCUCCCGAGACACAGGGCCGAGAAGAACCGUCGGCAAACGCACCAGACGGGCGGAAAAAAAGGAUGAAGGGAGGAAGAUAUAGCCAGCCAGAGAAGGGAGAAGAGGAGAAACAUCUGGAAAAUAUCAGUGUUGCAGAGCCUCCCGGAAACUGACCUCGCCACCGAAAGGAUUCAGCCCCUAAAGGCCAGGAACCAAAAAAAAAUGACUUCCGUGAAGAUAUGAUUUCUUUUGAUGUGCUUCCAAUC
rnacentral:lncRNA from 1 species